UAGAGGUCUUAUUAUGUUUCUGAGUCUAAUUCCCUUAAAUUAAAUGAAAAUACACACACACACCUGAUUGAAGGGAAUUAGACUCAUGAACAUAAUAGGACCCCUAUA
rnacentral:pre_miRNA from 1 species